GCUGAAGCUUGGUGCUUGCACUGGGUGGAUGAGUGGCGAACGGGUGAAUAAUACGUGAAUAACCUGCCCUUGACUCUGGGAUAAGCCUGGGAAACUGGGUCUAAUAAUGGAUAUGACCUCCUGUCCCAUGGUGGGGGGUGGAAAGGGUUUGUACUGGUUUUGGAUGGGGUCCCGGCCUAUCAUCUUGUUGGUGGGGUAAUGGCCUUCCAAAGGGACAACCGGUAGCCGGCCUGAGAAGGGGACCGGCCCCCCUGGGGCUGAGACACCGCCCCCACUCCUACGGGGGGGGGCAGUGGGGAAAAUUGCCCAAUGGGGGCAAGCCUGAUGCAGCGACGCCCCGUGAGGGAUGACGGGCUUCCGGUUGUAAACCUCUUUCAACACGGAAAAAACCAAAGUGACUGUACCUGCAAAAAAACCGCCCGGUAACUUACUGGCAACACCCCGGGUAAUACGUAGGGGGCAAGCGUUGUCCGGAAUUAUUGGGCGUAAAGAGCUCGUAUGGCGGUUGUCCCGUCUGGUGUGAAAGCCCGGGGCUUUACCCCCGGUGGGCCCUGGGUUCCGGCAGACUUGCAUGCAAGAAGGGGAACCUGUACUCCUGGGGGAACGGUGAAAAUAUCAGAUAUCACGCAGAACACUGAUGGGGAACGUAGGUCUCUGGGU
rnacentral:rRNA from 1 species